UACGAAGGGUGCAAACGUUGCUCGGAAUCAUUGGGCGUAAAGCGCACGUAGGCGGCCCGAUAAGUCGGAUGUGAAAUCCCUCGGCUCAACCGAGGACGUGCAUUCGAAACUGUCGGGCUCGAGUAUGGAAGAGGGUCGCGGAAUUCCCGGUGUAGAGGUGAAAUUCGUAGAUAUCGGGAGGAACACCAGUGGCGAAGGCGGCGACCUGGGCCAAUAUUGACGCUGAGGUGCGAAAGCGUGGGGAGCAAACAGG
rnacentral:rRNA from 1 species